rnacentral:rRNA from 1 species
AUUGAACGCUGGCGGCAGGCUUAACACAUGCAAGUCGAGCGGGGUGAUGGUGCUUGCACUAUCACUUAGCGGCGGACGGGUGAGUAAUGCUUAGGAAUCUGCCUAUUAGUGGGGGACAACAUCUCGAAAGGGAUGCUAAUACCGCAUACGUCCUACGGGAGAAAGCAGGGGAUCACUUGUGACCUUGCGCUAAUAGAUGAGCCUAAGUCGGAUUGGCUAGUUGGUGGGGUAAAGGCCUACCAAGGCGACGAUCUGUAGCGGGUCGGAGAGGAUGAGCCGCCAGACUGGGAGUGAGACACGGCGCAGGCGGCUACGGGAGGCAGCAGUGGGGAAUAUUGGACAAAGGGGGGAACCCUGAACCAGCCAUGCCGCGUGUGUGAAGAAGGCCUUAUGGUUGUAAAGCACUUUAAGCGAGGAGGAGGCUCUUUUGGUUAAUACCCAAGAUGAGUGGACGUUACUCGCAGAAUAAGCACCGGCUAACUCUGUGCCAGCAGCCGCCGUAA